GAUGAACGCUGGCGGUAUGCUUAACACAUGCAAGUCGAACGGGAUAUCUUCGGAUAUUUAGUGGCGGACGGGUGAGUAACGCGUGAGAACAUGCCCUUAGGUUCGGGACAACAGUUGGAAACGACUGCUAAUACCGAAUGUGCCGAGAGGUGAAAGAUUAAUUGCCUAGGGAUUGGCUCGCGUCAGAUUAGCUAGUUGGUAGAGUAACGGUUUACCAAGGCGACGAUCUGAACUGGUCUGAGAGGAUGACCAGUCACACUGGGACUGAGACACGGCCCAGACUCCUACGGGAGGGCAGCAGUGGGGAAGUUUUCCGCAAUGGGCGAAAAGCCUGACGGAGCAAUACCGCGUGAGGGAGGACGGCUCUUGGUUGU
rnacentral:rRNA from 1 species